GGGAGAAGCAGACUCCCCGCUGAGCCAGGAACCAGAUGCGGGACUCAAUCUCAGGACAAUGGGACUUGACUAGAGCCAAUGGCAGAUGCCCAGCCAUCUGAGCCACCCAGGCACCCCUCUUCAGCUUUUCGUCCC